rnacentral:rRNA from 1 species
CCUACGGGUGGCAGCAGUGAGGAAUAUUGGUCAAUGGACGAGAGUCUGAACCAGCCAAGUAGCGUGAAGGAUGACUGCCCUAUGGGUUGUAAACUUCUUUUAUAUGGGAAUAAAAUGUUCCACGUGUGGGAUUUUGUAUGUAACAUAUGAAUAAGGAUAGGCUAACUCCGUGCCAGCAGCCGCGGGAAUACGGAGGAUCCGAGCGUUAUCCUGAUUUAUUGGGUUUAAAGGGAGCGUAGGUGGAUUGUUAAGUCAGUUGUGAAAGUUUGCGGCUCAACCGUAAAAUUGCAGUUGAAACUGGCAGUCUUGAGUACAGUAGAGGUGGGCGGAAUUCGUGGUGUAGCGGUGAAAUGCUUAGAUAUCACGAAGAACUCCGAUUGCGAAGGCAGUUCACUGGACUGCAACUGACACUGAGGCUCGAAAGUGUGGGUAUCAAACAGGAUUAGAUACCCCUGUAGUC